GGCCCUGCUCAGCCAUGUCUACACAGCACCAGGUGUGAAGUCUCCGUCUCCUCCUCCUCCGACCCUGGAGGCCUCGGUCCAGAACGUAGAGCUGAAGUUCUGCAGCAGAGCCACGGGGACCUGCGUCGGAGCGACCGUGGGAGCUGUUAAAGUGUGUGCCAGGACCCCAGGUUCACCAGAGGGUGUGAAGGAGAAGCUGGUUCCUCUGCUCCAGGGUCCAUCUGACACUAAAGAGCUUCACCAGAGUCGCUGGCUCAAUGAGAUCCGUAAACCUGAGUCCCUGCUGGCCCCUGACCUCCUGACCUUCUCAGUACAGAUACCUCAGCACGGGGUCGACGGCCGUAACUCCUCUGGUAAGUCUGACGCAUCUAUCGCUACAAUACACCAGCUGGUACGGUAGAGGAAACCUCUGGUUCUUCAGACCAGUUAUGUCAUCUACCUCUCGUCUCCACGUCUAGUCCACAUUACUGAAGUCCUCAGUCCUCCCUCCCGUCCCAACGUCUAGUCCACAUUACUGAGGUCCUCAACAGGUCAUGUGAUCAGUCCUCCCUCCCGUCCCAAAGUCUAGUCCACAUUACUGAAGUAC